CGAUGAUGACGAUGAUGAAGAAGCGCAAGAACAGCAAAUACGGCGGAGUCGCGGGACGACGGAGCGCGCACAAUGUUGUUGACACUCGGGGUGGCGAUCGCCGCCGCGCGGCAGGUGGCGCGCGAUUGGCGCUGCUAAAAUUGCGCCCGGGCCGACGAUUGGCCGCGCGCGCGCGCGCGGUGAAGCUUAGUCACCGUGCCGCUUUUGGAAAAUUGGCGCGCUGCCGAAGAACCGCCGAAACCCUCGCGAAGGGUCUCUCUCGCCCGACGACGCGGCCUGUCCUGCCGCGCCUCUUCUUCUCUUUGUGCCGCCGCGCCGGUCCUCCGCAACCCCCUCUGGCAGCCCUUGCUGCGCCGAAGCGCGCCGCUUGGUUCCUCGCGCGAAGGCCGAGGUGCAGUCGACGGGGAUUCCCGGGGUCUGAAAGUUCGCUCUCGACCGGACCGAUCCUCGUCCUCCCCCGGCUCGGAAGUUCCUCCGGGAGAGCCGCGCUCAUGGCGACGCAGCUCGGCACAAUGGCCGCCGGCUGGAUCUGGAUAAUAGACGCGAACGAGGCGUCGCGCCUCGUCGCGCCUCGCCUCGCCUCGCCAAGCCUCGCGCCGCGCCGCGUCGCGUCGCCCGGCCGAAGCGGAGAACGACGGAGCGAAGAGGAAAGAAAAGGACGCGAGGCUCCCGAGGAGGUGGCGGCGGCGGCGGGCGGCGGCGGCGGCGGCCCCGCGGAGCCGUCAGGCGCCGAUUGCGACAUCGAGUCCAGUGUUUACGAGGCGAACGCGAAGGCUCUCCUCCGGCUAAAAGGAAAUGGCUAAAAUACCAUUUGGAGACACGACAGUUUGAUUUUGUUUUUCUAUCGAUGGUCUGCUUUGGAGAAGAAGGACUUUGACGUUCGGUUUCUAAAUCCGAUUCAGUAAUCAGUAAUAUGCAAAAUUCUGGAUAAAAAAACACACGUUGUGGAUAAAUAUGGAGUCACCUCAGCUGAUUAAAAAAAAGAAAGAAAAACAGCUGCGAUGGUCGCAAAUCACGACAAUGUCACGAAUCGGGUCACUGACUUUCGGCUAAAUAAUUAAUGAUCUGUCACAAUUGAUUGUGUGAAAAGAGUCUUAAUAUAAAUCCGUUUUACUUUUAUAAACGUUCACUAUGCAACCAGUCAUGUGUGACGCAUCGAUUCUCACGAGAAACCGAUCUCAGGUACGUGUACAUAUGUGUACGCGUGUGUGUACGGCAGCGAUCAUUUUUCAUUCUACGUCCACACAAACAAAUUGAUCUACGCGUGAGUUUUACACACUAUUACGUAAAAAGUAUAUAGGGUGGUCUAUAGCGAACUGUCCUUCUGUCUAUAGCGGCUGUCGGAUUGUGUGAUUUAGUCAGCUCACUUCUAUGUUUUACAUUGGAUCAGCAAUAUGCGAUUGACAAGUGCGAUUCGCGAUACGAAUGUUAGCUCGUUUCAUCAGCUUACAGCUUUAAUUUGUAACACGCAGUUGCUGCUCACGCACGAGAUACGUAGAUGAAUGAGAGCCGCGAUGCAAAAGCGCCGAUCACUACGCUAGCCACCGUGCACCGAGAAAAAGACUUUUGUUGUCACAACAAAUGAAGGUUUGCUGUUUGACAAUUGUACGGAGAACAGAUCAAACAGUCACCGCGGUCAAUAAUUUUUUUUUUUCGUUAUUUGUAAUUUUAACAGAUAUAGUCGUUGGAGAUGCAAAUCAUACAUCUUUGUUGGACGUGCAACUUCCGAUGAAAAGAAUGGUAACGUCGUAAUAGCGGAAUAUAUAGGGUGUCCGGGAAUUUUUGGAAAUGAAAAAAUUAAAAAGAUUGAUCACAUCAAACUGAGAGGAAAAGUUAAGCACGAUUUUGCGAA
rnacentral:lncRNA from 1 species